UGGUCAUCACCAAAGCUUUUAGGGUGCAAUUUCUGAAUUGCCAUGGAUAUACAUGACCUCAAAGAAAAUGCCCCAUGAGGUUUAUCUUCUGCUACCUUGCUAGCAUUCAGUCAACGGGGAACAUUA